rnacentral:sRNA from 12 species
AACUCCCUACCAAACUGAAGCCUGACGUUAUGCGUCAGAGAUAAGUAGGAAUGGCGGGGAGUU